rnacentral:rRNA from 1 species
AUUGAACGCUGGCGGCAUGCCUUACACAUGCAAGUCGAACGGGGUAGCAAUACCCUAGUGGCGAACGGGUGAGUAAUGCAUCGGAACGUACCUCGUAGUGGGGGAUAGCUCGGCGAAGCCGGAUUAAUACCGCAUACGUCCUGAGGGAGAAAGUGGGGGACCGCAAGGCCUCACGCUAUGAGAGCGGCUGAUGUCGGAUUAGCUAGUUGGUGAGGUAAAGGCUUACCCAAGGCGACGAUCCGUAGCGGGUCUGAGAGGAUGAUCCGCCACACUGGGACUGAGACACGGCCCAGACUCCUACGGGAGGCAGCAGUGGGGAAUUUUGGACAAUGGGCGAAAGCCUGAUCCAGCCAUGCCGCGUGAGUGAAGAAGGCC